GGAGUUGAGAAGACGGUCGCGUUCCGGCUCAAUGCCUGAAUGAGGAAAGUCCGAACUCCGCAGGGCAGGCCGCCUCGUAACGCGAGGAAUCAGCAAUGAUUGGAAAGUGCCACAGAAAACAAACUAUCCGUCCGUUUCCGGGAGGGGACUCCCGGGAAUAGUCGGAUACAGGUGAAAAGGCGAGGUAAAAGCUCACCGGGUCUGCCGAGAGGCAGGCCGCUUGGUAAACCCCGGUCGGAGCAAUGCAAAACUGAGAGACCGCCCCGGCGGUGAAUCCGGCCCGGAUUCCAUUCUCAAGGUAGCAGCAGGAUUUCGGAAGCGAUUCCGGAACCAGAUAAAUGACCGUCCCCCGUCAUGUCUUCGGAUAUGCCGGGAGAACAGAAUUCGGCUUACUAUCAACUCCGGAU
rnacentral:RNase_P_RNA from 1 species